rnacentral:rRNA from 1 species
UUAGUAGCGGCGAGCGAACAAAAAAUAGCUCAGCACUUAAUCUUACAAUUUUUAUCGAUUGUCAAGAAAUGUAGUGUUUAGAAAAAUUUAUUAACUCAGAUUAAGUAUAUUUUUAAGUUUAUCUUGAACGGGGCCAUAACCCAUAGAAGGUGAAAGGCCGGUAAAAAUAAAUACUUAGUUUUAGUAAAUUUUUCUUAGAGUCGGGUUGCUUGAGAGUGCAAUCCUAAGAUGGUGGUAAACUUCAUCUAAAGCUAAAUAUAACUACGAGAUCGAUAGCGAACAAGUACCGUGAGGGAAAGUUGAAAAGAACUUUGAAGAGAGAGUUCAAUAGUACGUGAAACUGUUUAAGGGUAAACCUGAAAAAUCUAAAUAAAUGAAAGGAAAGAUUCAUUCGUGUUUGAGUUCUAAUGUAUUUAGUGUUUUUGACAAUUUAUAUUUUAAUAUAUUUUGCACGCAUUUAGUACAUAUGUAGAACCAGACGUGUGCAUUUCUUUCUGAGUAAAUUGUUGCGAUUUAUUAAGUAUCAAUUUAAGAUUUUAUUUACAGUUUUAAAAUAAUUUAUUAUUUUAAAUUUUAUAAAAAUUCUAAUUGAUAUACUUGAUAAUAAAAUAAUUAGUAUUAAAUCACGUUUAACGUGUUUGUUUUUUGACAAUUUAGUUUAAUUUUGUUAUAUAUUUGGACUUUGUGCCAAAUUUAACAUUAAACUGAUGUUAGUUGAAAARAAAUCAAACAGAUUUAAUUAUACUAAUCUGCAACAAAAAUGUUUUAGAUAAUUUCAGGACCCGUCUUGAAACACGGACCAAGGAGUCUAGCAUGUGCGCAAGUCAUUAGGAUUUAAUUAAACCUAAAGGCGAAAUUAAUGUGAAAAUUUGUUUUAUACAAAUUGAAGGAAAAUAAAUAAAUAUAUUAAAAUUUAUUUCGUAUUCCUGGAGCACUUGAAUCUUUUUUUAAAGAUUGGGUGCAUCAAUAGCGUACACGCUGGGACCCGAAAGAUGGUGAACUAUGCCUGGUCAGAACGAAGUCAGGGGAAACUCUGAUGGAGGUUCGUAGCGAUUCUGACGUGCAAAUCGAUCGUCAGAACUGGGUAUAGGGGCGAAAGACUAAUCGAACCAUCUAGUAGCUGGUUCCCUCCGAAGUUUCCCUCAGGAUAGCUGGUGCUUAGUUCGGAGUUUCAUCCGGUAAAGCGAAUGAUUAGAGGCAUUGGGGUCGAAACGACCUCAACCUAUUCUCAAACUUUAAAUGGGUGAGAUCUUCGGCUUUCUUAAAUAUUUUUAUGAAGCCGCAAGAUAUUUGAAUCAAAGUGCCAAGUGGGCCAUUUUUGGUAAGCAGAACUGGCGCUGUGGGAUGAACCAAACGUUAAGUUAAAGCGCCAAAAUCAACGCUUAUGGGAUACCAUGAAAGGCGUUGGUAACUUAAGACAGCAGGACGGUGGCCAUGGAAGUCGGAAUCCGCCAAGGAGUGUGUAACAACUCACCUGCCGAAGUUACUAGCCCUGAAAAUGGAUGGCGCUAAAGCGUUGUGCUUAUACUUAACCGUUAGUUGCAUGUGCAGUUAAAAUUUUUAACUAUCAAGCUCUAACGAGUAGGAGGGUUGCGGCAAUGAGCGCAGAAGGGCUAACCGUGAGGUUGUCUGGAGCCGUUGUCGGUACAGAUCUUGGUGGUAGUAGCAAAUACUUCAGUGAGAACCUGGAGGACUGACGUGGAGAAGGGUUUCGUGUGAACAGCAGUUGCACACGAGUCAGUCGAUCCUAAGCUUAAAGCGAAAGCUUUUUUAUAUAAGAUAAUAUUUAUGUAAUAUAAAUUUAAUAUUUAUAAAUUAAAUAUAUAUAAAUCUUAUGAGCGAAAGGGAAUCCGGUUCCUAUUCCGGAACCCGGCAGCGGAACCGUUUUAAAUUCGGACCCUUGCAAAAGAGUUCGUCGGGGUAACCCAAAAAGACCCGGAGACGCCGUCGAAAAAUCCAGGAAGAGUUUUCUUUUCUGUAUAAGCAUUCGAGUUCCAUGAAAUCCUUUAGCAGGGAGAUAUGGUUUGGAAUGCGAAGAACAUCGCAGUUGCGGCGGUGUCUGGAUAUUUUCUUCGGACCUUGAAAAUCCGGGAGAGGGUCACGUGGAGGUGUCGCGCCGGUUCGUACCCAUAUCCGCAGCAGGUCUCCAAGGU